rnacentral:rRNA from 1 species
UACGUAGGGUGCAAGCGUUGUCCGGAAUUACUGGGCGUAAAGGGCUCGUAGGCGGCCAACUAAGUCAGACGUGAAAUCCCCAGGCUCAACCUGGGAACUGCGUCUGAUACUGGUUGGCUUGAAUCCGGGAGAGGGAUGCAGAAUUCCAGGUGUAGCGGUGAAAUGCGUAGAUAUCAGGAAGAACACCCGUGGCGAAAGCGGCUCUCUGGAACGGUACUGACGCUGAGACGCGAAAGCGUGGGGAGCGAACAGG